AUAUGGGUAUGUUCUUAAAAAUAUUGAUAACUGUUGGGCAGCAGGUCCGUGUUAGCGACAUUUUUAACGAGUAUUUGUAGAUUUGAUCCUGCAGCACAGCUGUUGAAUGGAGUUUAUGCUGCAAAAUGAUGCUUGCGCCUUUAUAAUAGAUCAGCGUGUUGGCUCUCUUUCAAACUUGUGUUCGGUGUCAUAUUUAUCAGAUGCUGCAAAGCCUAAACGCGUACGCACGGAGACCAAAGCCCUCCCCACCCGGUUGGAGUGUCCUCAAUUUGCCUUCCGGAUGACGUCAGUAAGGUGACAUGGGCGCUCUCCACGCAUGAGAGCGGCAUGGCAAAUAAUUUGGGGUGCGUGGACUUUCAAUGCAUUCAGAAAUUCGCCCGUGCAUGUUCCCCGGUGCACAACAUGGCAUUCCUCCUCGUACAGCGACUCGGCUCGGGCUUCUCCGCAAAGGGCUCUCUCUGCGCAGCAAGUGAGUGACAGAGAUGAGGGGUGGGGACGCAGGGUGGGGUCACAAGCAGGGAGAGGCGGAGGAGGAACAGGCAGAGAGAGAGAGCCCAGCCCUUCAAUGCACGGCAGCGAACGGCAAGAACCAGCGGCGCAACGUUUGGCUGAUUUAUUCCAUUUUUUAUAUUUAUCUUUUGGGAAGAGGUUACAAAGACAACGACGCUGCGGACAUGAACUGAACAGAAGAGGCAAGCACCACCGUGCUGCAAUCUCCCGAAUAUCCACAGCACACCGCCCCUUCCUCCUCCUUGUCCUCUCCCAUAAGCCCUCCUUUCUCCCCUUACCCCACAUUACAGCGAUACACACCCAACACCACCCUCCUCCGCCCCCUGCCCCUCCACACGGAGAUGCACACGGAGAGCCGACACAAGAAAAGGAGGAGCGGUGCCCAAAAGAAGAAGAAGAAGCCGUCGGUCACCGCCCUGACGCAGGAGGCCACGCCGCCCUCGCCGGCCAA